rnacentral:rRNA from 1 species
GGGGGGGGGGGGGGGGGGGGGGGGGGGGGGGGGGGGGGGCGGGGGGGGGGGGAGCGGGGGGGGCGGGGGGGAGCGGCGGGGGGGGGAGUCGCCCGUGGAGCGCCUGCCUGUAGGACUGGGCGAACUGCGGGAAGCCGGAGCUGAUACCGGAUCAUAUUUUGAACCGCCUGGUUCAAACGUGAAAGACGGUCUUGCUGUCCCGUAUAGAUGGAUCCGCGCUGCAUUAGCUAGUUGGUAAGGUCACGGCUUACCAAGGCAACAAGGCAUAGCCGACCUGAGAGGGGGAUUGGGCACAUAGGAACUGAGACACGGUCCAGACUACUACGGGAGGCAGCAGUAGGGAAUCUUCUGGAAUGGGCGAAAGCCUGACGGAGCAACGGCGCGUGAGUGAUGAAGGCCUUCGGAUCGUAAAACUCUGUUAUUAGGGACGAACAUAUGUGUAAGUAACUGUGCCAAUCUUGACGGUACCUAAUCAGAAAGCCACGGCUAACUACGUG